rfam:Aedes aegypti strain Liverpool supercont1.525 genomic scaffold, whole genome shotgun sequence.
UGCCCAGCAACUCCUAUCCCUACCUCCUCGCGGUACUGGCCGGGGUACGAGUAACCUUAGGGAAGAUCGGGUAACCAACCCCCAGUGGGAAUUCUGGUCGUAUGCUGACAGGGAAGG